GAUGAACGCUGGCGGCGUGCCUAAUACAUGCAAGUCGAGCGAACAGACGAGGAGCUUGCUCCUCUGACGUUAGCGGCGGACGGGUGAGUAACACGUGGAUAACCUACCUAUAAGACUGGGAUAACUUCGGGAAACCGGAGCUAAUACCGGAUAAUAUAUUGAACCGCAUGGUUCAAUAGUGAAAGACGGUUUUGCUGUCACUUAUAGAUGGAUCCGCGCCGCAUUAGCUAGUUGGUAAGGUAACGGCUUACCAAGGCAACGAUGCGUAGCCGACCUGAGAGGGGGAACGGCCCACACGGAAACGGGAAAAGGGUCAGACUCCUACGGGAGGCAGCAGUAGGGAAUCUUCCGCAAUGGGCGAAAGCCUGACGGAGCAACGCCGCGUGAGUGAUGAAGGUCUUCGGAUCGUAAAACUCUGUUAUUAGGGAAGAACAAAUGUGUAAGUAACUAUGCACGUCUUGACGGUACCUAAUCAGAAAGCCACGGCUAACUACGUG
rnacentral:rRNA from 1 species